rnacentral:tRNA from 2 species
GGAGAAGUAGCUCAGUUUGGCAGAGCGCUUGGUUUGGGACCAAGUGGUCGCAGGUUCAAAUCCUGUCUUCUUCACCA